CAGCCGCCGCGGGAAUACAGAGGGUGCAAGCGUUAAUCGGAAUUACUGGGCGUAAAGCGCGCGUAGGUGGUUUGUUAAGUUGGAUGUGAAAUCCCCGGGCUCAACCUGGGAACUGCAUUCAAAACUGACUGACUAGAGUAUGGUAGAGGGUGGUGGAAUUUCCUGUGUAGCGGUGAAAUGCGUAGAUAUAGGAAGGAACACCAGUGGCGAAGGCGACCACCUGGACUAAUACUGACACUGAGGUGCGAAAGCGUGGGGAGCAAACAGGAUUAGAUACCCCAGUAGUCCCUGUCUCUUAUAU
rnacentral:rRNA from 1 species